AAUCACUAGAAGAUGAUAGCCUCUUCCAGUAGUUUCUGCGAUCAAGACUUGGCACUUGCAGCGAACACAACAUAAAGCUUGGGCUUUCGGAAGACACAGAGCCAUGACUGAAGGCUGUCUGCUCCUCACCAUAAACCAAGAAAAAAGCCGCCUGCUCUGAAGAAACCCCUAAAGACACGCCAGGUCACAGCGAGUCUGCUGCAGUUCAGAACAAGAUGACAGUGUGCUCCUAACAGUGCUACAGCUUUGGGCCAGCUACUUGUAAUCUUUUGUACGGGAAGACUUUGUGACCAGUGGUCCCCCCAAGAAACUUCAAAGACAUCCUGUUUUUACCAGUUUGAAUUGUACCUAUCUUCUUCAACAAUACUUCUGGCACAGAGUUUUGCAUGUUUGUGAAAUGAAGAAUGCACAGAGACCCCGUGAGGUAUGAUUGCAUGACAAUCUAUUAUUCCAUCCUAAAGCCUAUGGGAGAUGUAAUUAAUCCCAACAGUUUAUUUUGCUGGUAGGAAAAGAAAAAAGCCAGAGACUGAACUUUAGAAAUAAAAGCCACGGUUGUCUUUAUAAAACACAGAAUUGUGCUGCUGCUGUUGCUUGCUUGA